UCUCUGCUUGCGCAGGCAGUCUCUUUAGAGUCCCCACCAUCACGUGUUGGCAACUAAAGAUAGGGGUUGCGCUCGUUGCGGGACUUAACCCAACACCUCACGACACGAGCUGACGACAGCCAUGCAGCACCUAACUACAGGUUCUCCGAAGAGCACCCCGAUUUUUCAACCAGGUUCCUGCAUUUUCUAGCCCAGGUAAGGUUCUGCGCGUUGCGUCGAAUUGAACCACAUGCUCCACCGCUUGUGCGGGCCCCCGUCAAUUCCUUUGAGUUUCAGCCUUGCGGCCGUACUCCCCAGGCGGGGCACUUCAUGCGUUAGCGCCGGUACUCCAAGGGUCGCUCCCCGGAGCACCUAGUGCCCAUCGUUUACGGCGUGGACUAC
rnacentral:misc_RNA from 1 species